CAGAGUCUUGUGAACGCGCUCCACAUGCACGGUUUCUUCUCUCCGUGAGAAGAGAAGCUGUUUGUGUUAGUAACGUUUGUGUUAUCGUUCGUGGACGGUAGAAAACAGCUUUGCUGGGAGCUUUAAACAAGGAUGCUCUUUACUCGAAGACGACGUGGGCUUAACUUUGGAUAUUGGAGCCUGUUUUUAAUCGUGACGUCGAAAAAACGAAGCUUAUCAGCAGCUUUCACCGCCUUAAUGUUUGCUGACGUGUGGGAUCAGGCACAAAGGAGCUGCUAGUAUGUUUUUAGAGCCUCUGCAUGUCGGGGUAAGUAAAACACAGACACGCAGAGUCAUAAGAAGGUCGUGUUUCACGUCUGGUUGUAGCGCUGAAAUAUGGCUGCUGCUCUAGUUGAGCGUUGCGCCAUCUAUCACCGACGGAGCGUUACCCAGCGUCGGGAGCGCGCACUGGUCAGGAUCCAGGUUACUCCAGGUUACUACAGCCGUGCUUUGAGCCAAGUGAAUGUUUUCUGUUAUGUGAGGUUUUAGCCGAAAAAACGAUGUCCAGCAAGUCUCGGUGACUCUAACAGUGAUCAUUUCAACUACACACAAAUACUAAGACUAAGCAAAACACAAAGAAAACUCACACCACACGGAGCCGCUUCUACUUCGCAACUAGCGAGCUAACUUGCGCUCGAAGCCCGGUAACCGGCGAGCUUCUCUAAUCACGCUUACGUCCCGAUUUUGUGUGUUUAUAAUAUGACAAUAACGGCAAAUCAAUUAAUCAGCAAUCUAAGAGUAAGCAUCUCACCUGUGGACGCAAACGCGUAAUAACAGAGGAGAAGAAUCCCGAAGAGCGACGUAAGAACUCCGGUACCCAUCUUGUCCGGUCCCCGCUAUGACAUAUAACUUCACCCGUAACGGUGAAGGCUGCGGUUGUGCCCUAAACAGGUUUCCUGGUUUUCGCAUUUUCGUAUUUGCAUCAUUGCACUUGACUUGUUGGUGUAUUAUAUGUGAAACGUGUCAAAUAACACAGUCUUUAAGAUACUUUGCUAAACAGCUCAUUUCUACAUUUUAUAUAUAACCCGUCAUAAAUCAUGUUCACUGAAGUCUACUUACCAAUAUAAUUAAAGACGUUACACAUAAAAAAUAAAUAGAAACAUUGGACAUGACUUCUGUUUAAAUGGUCAUUUUAGAAAAAACCCCUCUAGUAAUCCAUAAAUGCAUUGAUCGACUUUACUUUGUAUCCCACUGUAUGUUUGAUAUAUUUAUUUAUAACUGUUCAUUUGUUUUUUUAGUUUUGUUUUUUACAUUGCAUGCUAGUCAACAGUCAGAUCCUUAAAUGUGUUUAUAUAUGUUGAUAAAACAGAAUAAAUAUUCCACAGUCAGUUUUUUAUACCUAAUAUUUUGUCUUCAUUGUGUUUUCAGUCACAUCAUGAUUCAGUUGUUAAAGACUUUCAGAAAGGACAGAAUGAGACUGACAGGUGAAAAUCGAUGAUGACAGCUUAAGGAUUCACUAUCGUUAACAUAAGUGCACUGACACUUAAUAAUAGUAAAAACAAAACUGUAAAAUCUAGAGUCCAGAUGAGAGUUACAGCUGACAUAAGUAGGAUUACAACUUUUAUUUAUUAUUAUGAUUUAUAGUAUCUUAAUAGUUUACAUGUUGUGUAUAUUUAAAGUACCUAAAUAGGGUUUGAUCCAGUCAUUAUGUGGGGUGACAUUUAUAAGAGGGCAGCAUGGUGACACCGAGCGUUUGCAUCCACCACCUGGUCGGGGUCUCUGUGUGGGGUUUGCAUGUUCUCCUUGUGUUUUUGUGGGUUCUCUUCAGGUACUCCAGCUUCCUCCCACAGUCCACAGACAUGCAGUCAGUGGGGUUAGGUUCACUGGUGAUUCUGAAUCGCCCAGAGGUGUGAGUCUGAAUGGUCAUCAGUCCUUUCAGGUCAGAGUACCUGGUAACAAAACUAAACUGUGAUGGAACUUUUUUCACUAGUAGGAUAAGAAAUUGUUGGAGGACUCAUCAUUGAAGUGCAUUUUCUUCUUUUUUCUCCUUUUUCUCCAACUCUUAAUAUUUAAAAUGUUUUAUUCUUUGAGAAAACGAUUCAUAAACACAAAGUUUUUCUUGUUAGAAAGUCUAACAGGGGUACACAGGUGAUGCUGAAGAGGUUCAUCGAGUGGACACUGGUGUAACAUUCAUGAUGUCGAUCAGACGUCCAUCUUUGAAAUAUUCUUUAAAAAAACUAUCUGUGUGUUUUUGUAGCAAUUUUAAGUAACAGGGCGUUCAUACCACGUGUUAUAAGAAAGUAACCAUUACAGUGUGUUAAUAGUUGUAUAUGUUUUUAAUGUAUCUGACCUCGACUCUCUUUGUACCAACAGGAAGGAGGAAGAGGGCGACUUUACUUGGUGUCAGAGACAGAAAUGAGAAAAAGCUGAAAUGAGUGAGAAGGACGAUGAAGGAAACAUCUGUGCUGUGUCUGCUCUGUUAGCACCUCAUACCACAGUGCACCAAAAGCAGUCUCAUGAGCGCUGGGAAGGACAAGCCCAGAGCCCAAAACAGACAGUGCAGGAGAUGACAAGCUGUCCUGUGCCAGAUGUUCUGUUGACCCACUGUGAGAGACAUCAUUUAAGAAACACCAGGAAGACUGACUCAUCGCCGGGAUCAAGCAGGGCUCGUGAUCUUCACCAGCAGCUCCCUCACAAGAAGGAUAAACCCAGCAUUUCAUGAACACUGAUGGAGACCUUUGCUUGUGUAAUGUUAGAAGUACUCAGAUAAUCCUCAGAGGGUCUGGACUUUUACAUAAUAUAAUAUCUUUAAGUCCUGUAGAAAGUUAAAUAUAUGUUGUGCUCUCUGGUUACUCUGGUAUGAAUGACUCUGAAUCACUUUAUGGUAAAUAACACACUAUUGUCAUAAAACAGUGAAAGAAUUCCAGAUCACAAGUUUUUAGUUCAAAUACAAGUGACGACCUUUGACUUUAAUCAGGUUUUAUUUAAUUGUGUCAAAGAAAACAUCACAUGCUCUUCAUGUAGCUGAGUAUAUUCAGUGUUUAAAACAGAAGUUGUGCAGGUCUGAGAUCAGCAGUUUCCUGAAACACCAAACUGAGGUCCUGUUAAUGCUGAUGUAUAGUGACACAGUUACAUGG